rnacentral:lncRNA from 1 species
UCAUAUACUAAUGUCACUACCCCAUCACUCCUUAUCCUUAUCAACUUCUAUUCACAUUAAACCCAUACACUUCCUAUCUCCCAACCCACAUUGGUUUUCCAUCCCUUAUAUGAACUCCAACUAUACAUAUAAUCCAAUUCAUAUCAGAUAUACACACUACACUCCAAUCCCACAUCUAAUUCAUUCCUUGCACAAAUUCUUUCAAUUUGGGACACCUUUACAAAGAGGAAAACACAUAUUUACUCAAGGUAAGCACACCUCACUUCUUGCUCAAUCUUAUUCUCUGUUAUCGAUAGCAAGUGAGUAGAACACCUUAAAUAUUGGAUGCCCAGGGAUUUUGUGUUUGAUUUCAUAUAUUGGCUAGCAAGAUAACACCAAAUAAGCUAUUUUGGGG